UGAUGAACGCUAGCUACAGGCUUAACACAUGCAAGUCGAGGGGCAGCAUGGUCUUAGCUUGCUAAGACUGAUGGCGACCGGCGCACGGGUGAGUAACACGUAUCCAACCUGCCGUCUACUCUUGGACAGCCUUCUGAAAGGAAGAUUAAUACAAGAUGGCAUCAUGAGUCCGCAUGUUCACAUGAUUAAAGGUAUUCCGGUAGACGAUGGGGAUGCGUUCCAUUAGAUAGUAGGCGGGGUAACGGCCCACCUAGUCUUCGAUGGAUAGGGGUUCUGAGAGGAAGGUCCCCCACAUUGGAACUGAGACACGGUCCAAACUCCUACGGGAGGCAGCAGUGAGGAAUAUUGGUCAAUGGGCGAGAGCCUGAACCAGCCAAGUAGCGUGAAGGAUGACUGCCCUAUGGGUUGUAAACUUCUUUUAUAAAGGAAUAAAGUCGGGUAUGCAUACCCGUUUGCAUGUACUUUAUGAAUAAGGAUCGGCUAACUCCGUGCCAGCAGCCGCGGUAAUACGGAGGAUCCGAGCGUUAUCCGGAUUUAUUGGGUUUAAAGGGAGCGUAGAUGGAUGUUUAAGUCAGUUGUGAAAGUUUGCGGCUCAACCGUAAAAUUGCAGUUGAUACUGGAUAUCUUGAGUGCAGUUGAGGCAGGCGGAAUUCGUGGUGUAGCGGUGAAAUGCUUAGAUAUCACGAAGAACUCCGAUUGCGAAGGCAGCCUGCUAAGCUGCAACUGACAUUGAGGCUCGAAAGUGUGGGUAUCAAACAGGAUUAGAUACCCUGGUAGUCCACACGGUAAACGAUGAAUACUCGCUGUUUGCGAUAUACUGCAAGCGGCCAAGCGAAAGCGUUAAGUAUUCCACCUGGGGAGUACGCCGGCAACGGUGAAACUCAAAGGAAUUGACGGGGGCCCGCACAAGCGGAGGAACAUGUGGUUUAAUUCGAUGAUACGCGAGGAACCUUACCCGGGCUUAAAUUGCAGAUGAAUUACGGUGAAAGCCGUAAGCCGCAAGGCAUCUGUGAAGGUGCUGCAUGGUUGUCGUCAGCUCGUGCCGUGAGGUGUCGGCUUAAGUGCCAUAACGAGCGCAACCCUUGUUGUCAGUUACUAACAGGUUCCGCUGAGGACUCUGACAAGACUGCCAUCGUAAGAUGUGAGGAAGGUGGGGAUGACGUCAAAUCAGCACGGCCCUUACGUCCGGGGCUACACACGUGUUACAAUGGGGGGUACAGAGGGCCGCUACCACGCGAGUGGAUGCCAAUCCCCAAAACCUCUCUCAGUUCGGACUGGAGUCUGCAACCCGACUCCACGAAGCUGGAUUCGCUAGUAAUCGCGCAUCAGCCACGGCGCGGUGAAUACGUUCCCGGGCCUUGUACACACCGCCCGUCAAGCCAUGGGAGCCGGGGGUACCUGAAGUGCGUAACCGCGAGGAGCGCCCUAGGGU
rnacentral:rRNA from 1 species